GCUGGGUGUGGUGGUGUAUGCCUGUAGUCCCAGCUACUCGGGAGGCUGAGGUGGGAGGAUGGCUUGAGCCCAGGAGGUCACAGCUACAGUGAGCUAUGAUAGUGCCACUGUACUCCAGCCUGGGCAAAAGAGCAAAACCCUGUCUCUA
ensembl:misc_RNA Metazoa_SRP Metazoan signal recognition particle RNA